GGUUGUGGCUCAGUGGUAGAAUGCUUGCCUAGCAUACAUGAGGCACUAGGUUCAAUCCCCAGCACCA
rnacentral:tRNA from 1 species